CAUACAUUUCUGUCAAAUAUUCUUGUUGAUUAGUAGUUUGGUUUGAUGAAAAUGUUAUUAAUUUUCUUACUAACCCAGACUUGGAUCAACUCAUAGAUUCCUUAAGUGUGUUGUAGGACUGUACACUGCAAUAAUACUGUAGCAUUUCUAACAAGAAGUCCAAUGUGUGCUAAUACAAAAACAGAGAUGUCGCUGUAUUCUACAGGUAUGCUCGUCAAACAAAGAAUGACGGAUAACGUCACCUGAUGUUUUGUCAUUCCUGAAAGUUGUGUGAUUAGAUUUGAUGGGAUGUAUUCACCAGGAGUGCUGGCGUAAAAGAUUACGUUUAUCUCUCUCUCUCUGUUAUUUAACGUAUCUAUGGCUACGAAAUAUUGCAACAUCAUUUUUUAGUAGUAGAGGCUGGCAGCAACAGGCCUCACAAGGAAAUAACUUGGCAAUAUAUUUUUAGAAGAAUUGUCAAAGCUAGGAUAAUGUGUACAGUAUUAGAGAAGGUGAAUAUUUUAAACUUUAAAUUGAGUAGUUUACGGUUUACCAAACCUUCAGAGGGAUUAAAAAAAAAAGAAAAAAAAAAGAAAA